AGCCUUUGGCGAGCCAGGUGUCGCAUUUUCAGUUUCCCCUACAACAUGUUGUCGACUAUUCCUUGCAUCCAUAGUGGGGAACGACUGCAUGUAAAUGGAGGCCUAGGAUCGGCUGGCAAGUUUCCUUAAAAUAACUUGUUCCUAACCGAAUAACUUCUUCAUUCCUUCUACUGGCAAACAAACAAAAAAAGUUUGGCAAGUUGAGAGCGAUUAGAAGUUCUGGUGGUGGGGACGAUUAGGAAAACAGAAUUGGUGGGCUUUCGAGUGACGUUGUGUGUAGGAAUUGGUUUUCUCCUUGUGGUAAGUCUUCCAUUCUCCUAAAAUAUGUUCUUCCUUUUCUCCUUAGACAUAUAGCCAGCCUUUACAAAUUUUAGAAAGUCCCAAAAUUCGUGCAGAAUGCAUCAACCGAAGCCAUUUUUCUGUAAAUUUCCGGAAGUUGCAGACUGAGUAGGUUGCUACCGUCCUGUUUUUUUUUUUUUCCUCUCUUCCAUUUAAUUAGUUUAGCGAACCUUAUGUAAUCUGGAAUCAUAAUAGGACUUUAGAAACCUGUUAGAAAUCGGUUAAACAAAUUUAAAACUUUAAAAAUCUGGAAAUUAGUUCCAACUUUCUGCAACAGCUUCAUCGUGUUGCAGAACCUUCCUUCCGUCUUUAAAACCAGACGAUUUCCUUGUGUCUUCUAGCUUAUAUUGACGACUCCUUUGAAGUAAAAUCGAUGAUAAUUUGGUUAAUACAAAUAUGGAUUUAUAGAGUGCGAUUCAUUCGGUAAAUCUCUUUACAAAUUAAAAACAAUUUGGCAUUUUAAAAUGGAUUGUGUGAGUGGGUACUGUUAAGAAUUAAUUUUUAAAUUAGAAUAUAAUUAAUUAGUUUGUUAAUAGUUGAACUUCAUAAAUUAGAGUUUCUAUAUAUUAUUUGGUUUGGUAGUAGUUGUGCG
rnacentral:lncRNA from 1 species